GAGGGUUUUUGUAAUAAAACUUUUGUCUAAUUCGUUCGACGAUACCAAAAAGGGAAGACUCAGAUUUUUCGAUAGAAUCAAAUCAUCAAGGAGUAAUAACCCUUAGAACGAGCAUGAGAAGAAGAAGAAGAAGAAGAAGAAGAAGAAGAGAUGGGAGGCAAGGAGGGUGCGAUUGGGCGAUGCUUCAUCAAGUUUGCAAAUAGGAUCCAUCCACCAUCAAGCUAGCUAGUUAAGAAGUUUACAAGAGACACAACAAGCCAUAGAGAUAAAUUACAAAUACUGCUAAACUGGGUUGGAGAUUUGCAUCUUCUUAGCAAUCAACGCUUCCUUCUUCUUCUCCAGCUCCUGCCGCUUGGCAGACAAUUCCUGAAACCAUGAGUUGGAAGAUGCAUUAAGCUCAUAUAAAACCCAAAGCAAACCUCAAAUCUUGUUUCUAUAUUUAAUUUACCUCUCUCUCGGAAACAUACUUUUCUGGAUUGUAUGGGGAGUUAUAUGUAGCUGGGAAGAAAGAAAGAAGAAGAAAGUAUAUAAUUAAUUA